rnacentral:tRNA from 1 species
GCGUUCAUAGCUCAGUUGGUUAGAGCACCACCUUGACAUGGUGUUGGUCGUUGGUUCGAGUCCAAUUGAACGCACCA